UUGCAGAAGGAAUUUGUGCUGUGUUGAAGUGAUUUCUUUUAUCUAUUUUGAGCACCGGCUUGAAGGGCUGAGCAAGACCGCCAAGGAGAUUCUCUCGGUUGGGUGCACGGUCAAUGGCAAGGAUCCCAAUUUGCAGCAGUAGAUUAUGGGAACAACCGAAAUAGUUCUGCAAAUUUCCAUUGGUGCAAGGAAAUGCCCUUAUUCUAUUCUAACCUGGUGGAUGGUCACUUAACAGUCACAUAGAAUGACAUGUGGAUGAAUUUAGCUCUCUGUUUCCAGAACAUGGAGGGUUUGGGUAUUGCAGAUGAGGUUAAAAAGCACAAGGCCAACGACAAGUUCUGGUUGUCCGUAUCAAAGAAGAGUUGCAGCUGUGGGAUGAAGAGUCUUAGUUAUAUAAAAUACAGUUGGAUGAUGGGUGCAUCUGUAACUUUUUAGUUAGUAUAUUUAUUGUAUGAUACAUUCUGAAAUAUAGUAUAAGGUACAAUACAAGAAUGUAGAGGUGCCAAUUGGCACCUUAUUUUUUUUAAUCCAAUCUCAUAAAUUUGCCACUGAUAUCAGUGGUAUUCCAAAGCCACUAACAUCAGUGUGGGUU